rnacentral:lncRNA from 1 species
GCAUAUGUAUUUGAGAGGUUGAUUAAGCUCUCCCUGAAGUUUGGUGGGCUCACGACACUCGUAGCUCACCUUCUCACUUCCCGAAUCCUAGGCCGAAACCCUAGGGUACUCACCGAAGAAACUUGCACCCACUCUAUUUCUUUCUUUUCUCUCCUUUUCUUUUUUUUUCUCACGCAGAAAAGCUUUCUCAUGCCACUCUUCACUC